UAUUUUGCAGAUACGAUUGUGAAAAGGGUAAAUAGUUAAAUUUAUUUUCAGGGUUUUCUUUUCCUCUUAUAUUAAGGAUAAAGAUAUUUUAGGUUGACCUCCUUCAUUUGUUUAAUUUUUAUUAUUCUGACUGUUUUGCUUUGUUUGGUACAUGAUUUGUGGAGCUGUUGAGGGACUACAGGCCAACAAGUUUGAUGAUGUUACAAAAUCAAAUCGAACCCGUCUAAAGAAUCAUGCUCUUGAGGAUGCAAGGAGCUGGGACAAAACGUGGAUAAAAAUGUACAUAGGUUUUAGGGGUUAUUUGCGAUGCAUAUUCAGAAGAAUCUCAUAGACAAAACUCUUCAGGUAGUGACGGGAUGAAGGAAACAUAAGCGAUCAAUAGUAGAACUAAAUUUUAAGAGUCUAGGUUGCGGUGCAGCUGGUUUUUGGAUGAUUUUGAAUUGGUGUGAUGAUGAUACACGGGAAUUCGCGAAGCCGGAAGAUCAUAAGGAGGUCUAACGACGAAUAGGGCAUGUGAUAAACCAUUGACAGGUGCUCUUACAUAUGCAUAAUAAAUAUAUAAAGAAUAAAAUGCGUCUGUAAAAUUUUCUAUACACACUGAAAUACAUUAGUUGCACCAGUGUGGAAUUUCAAUAAAUCCUUUUUGUGUUAUAUUUUGUUAUUUUUAAA